rnacentral:lncRNA from 1 species
UCGUUAACUAUAAAUAUUGGGCCUGCUUUUGGCCCAAAGUACGUGAACCCUAUCAGGCCACACGGAGCCAGCUGGGUGGUCGAAUCCCAGCAGGGGCAAACACAAACCAAACGAUUUUUAACUCCAAACGAUUAUUAAUCUAAGAAGCUAAUCAGUCUACCAAAUUAACACUAACAGAGAUUCAAACUCAAGUGACUAUGCCCAACCUUUUAAACAAAAUAAAACUGCAGGAUUUCCAUAGCCUUUUCCAUAACAAUUAGCAUUCUCAAUUAUAACUGUCAACUCCAAAUAUUGAUCAACAAUCAAAACACCUACAUGGACAUACAUCUGACUGGACUCAACCUAGCAAAACCUGAAUCAAUUAACGAUUCACUAGGUGUCUGUUAACUAUUGCAAUACCAACUAUUUUUGAUUUUUUAUUUUAUUUUAACAGAACUAUGAUUACACAGAGUCCAGUACCUAUUAUACUAAAAUCAAGUCUAAACGAACACAUGCUACAUUUCGAAAUGGCCCAGGCAUACAGUCCAUAAUUGAUUAGAGUGUACAGUUCACUAAGUCACAGGAUAUGUUUAUAACAUAAUACAAUUUAACAGAAGAAGAAAACUGCAGCAGAAACUUCAAUUUCAAUUCAUCAUUGGACAGGAGAGUCUACAUUGGGACAGUUCAAUUGUGUACCUGGAUUUCAAAAUAUCAAAGGAAGAAGGAGCAGUUAGCAACAGCAGAACAAGCAACAACGAUUUGGAAUUUCAAAUAGCAGUUUCAGCCCAGAAAUGAAUCAGUGAUCCAAAGAACUUUUCAAAACCAAAAUUGCACCAAUACAACCAACAAUGAAUCCAUCAAUCCACACAUUCGACGAUUAACCCCAACCAGCUCAAAUAAACCAACACCAGUGCUCAAAUAAUUCAAAACACUUUCAUAUUUCAACUAUUGAAUAGACACGGAAGAGUUCAAGUUGUUUUUGAUUUUGAGAUGAACUAGAAAGUUGAAUUAAAGCUGGAAUUCGAAAACAACCUGAAGAAAACAAUGAAACAGUGAUUUAUUUUUGGUUUUUGAAUGUUUUGAACUUCAAGUUUAGAUUUGAAUAAUCAGAGAGGAGCUUCCCUGGAAAAUUUUUCAGACCCCCAAUGAAGGCAUUGGGGUUGCCUUUUAUAGGCAACAAAUAUGGUAGAAUGCUCUAGAUGGCACUCACACAAUUUCCCUCUUUUAAUUUCAGAUUUCCCCUAUUAGUCCUUCAACUUCUGCCUUGUUUCUCAAGUUACUCCCCUAAGUUUACUGAAAUCUACACUAAAGUCUUAAUCUAGAAGGCCCUAGGGUAUUCUUUUACCUAUACAAUACCUAUACUACCCUUAUCUUGGUUUUGAAAUUACUAUUCUUAAUACAACUACCAUUUUCCAUGCCUAAACUACCUUUAUUCCCUUCCUGAAAUUACUACCCAAAUAAGCUGAGCUUCAAACCCCUAAUUGACUGACUCAAACCCUCUGUUAGCCUUAAACGGACCAAUUAUAGUUUCCCAAAGAAUCCAAAUCAGCCUUAAUCAGACCAAAACAAAUUAAACUAAUUAGAACUAGCUAGACGACUAAUCAAACUGAAGCCAAACAUGAACUAAUUAUUAUUUAACUAAAAGAAAAACAGAAACUAAUUCAAGCAAAACUUAACUUAAUUAACAAAUUAUAAAUCGAACUAGUAUCAGGAAUUGGAACAUAUUCAAACAAACAACUAGACUUAAUCAAAUCGGGAUACAAGAUUAGAGCAAUAUUGACAAAAAUUAAAACGUAAAUUAACUAGACAUUUAAACAAGGAAUUCACACAUGCAGAAAAUCAGAAAAGGAAAAAGAAAUUUAAGAUGAAAGAAAAAUACCAAUACGAACCCACUGACCACGAAGAGCUCCGGCCAGUGGUUUUUCCACAUCCCGAAAUUUCUGACCCUUAACAUCCCUAACCAUGUGUUUUCAUAAGAAAACACCUGGUUGGGGUUGUUAGGGUCCGAAAUCAUGGAGAUCCUGCCUUAGGUUUUUGGUCAGAAACCCUCGAUCUGAGAUUCGAGCUUUUCCAGACAUAUUCGAGAUACAAGGCCAUGAGGGUUGGGUAGAGGAGGCCCAGGUGAGGUUACGUGGUGUUAAUUUGGUGGUGAUUGGGUUAUUUUGUGUUUUGGCCGGAAACCUUUGAUCGAAGAUUCGACGAGCUAGGGCUGGAUUUGAAGGAAACGGGUGGUAGAUUCAUGACGAGGAAGAAAAUGAGGUUUCGUGGUAUUAUUUUGGUGGCCGAUGGCGUAGGUGGUGUUCGCCGGCGGUGAGAUUCCGGCGAAGUACAGAGGGUACGAGGAGGAUGAACUGUGUUUUUUAGGGUUUGGGAAUUUCGG